AACACAACACAAUCUUCAUCAUCACACAAGACAAAACAACUACAAUGAACAACAUCCUCAUCCUCAUCUGGACUCUGACUCUCUGCAUUCAGGAGAUCUGGGGACAAAUGACAGUGACUCAGAAUCCAGCAAUACAAUCCAUCAAACAAGGAGAAACUGUUAUGAUCAGCUGUAAAACCAGUCAGACACUUUCUAGCUGUGGUAGCUGUGUGUCUUGGUAUCAGCAGAAACCUGGAGAAGCUCCUAAACUCCUCAUAUAUUAUACAAACAGCCUCCAGUCAGGAACUCCAUCUAGAUUCAGUGGCAGUGGAUCUGGCACUGAUUUCUCUCUGACCAUCAGUGGAGUCCAGACUGAAGAUACAGGAGAUUAUUACUGUCAGAGUGAACACCUGAUCAGUAGUAGCUGGGUGUUCACACAGUGAUAAAGAGUCGUACAAAAACCUCCGUCAGUCAGAGUCACAGUGACUGCACUGAUACAGCUGAGAGAUACUGCAGCUGCUGAUGAGAGGAUGACAAACAAGCAGCAAACUUAAAUUUUAGUUUUAAUUAAUCAUGUUAUGAAUUAUUUAACAAAAUAUUAUAGGUCGGUUUUAAUUGUAUCCUCAACUAUACGGUAUAUAAUCAUGAAACGUGACAUACGGUUAAAUUUACAAUAUUUAUAAUUUAGCAUAAAAGCUAGUACUAUUUUUUUUUUUUAUAAUUGAUUUUCAUUCAUUCAUUCUUAAAGCCAGUGUUGGAAUAUUGACAUAACUGAGAUUCAAUCAGAGAAAGAUCAGUCAGCUGCCAUAAAUUACCUGAUGGAAAAGAAACAACGGAUGAGAAAGAAAAGAUCAAGCAAACAUUGUCCUUCUAUGAAUAAUUCUUCAUUGUUCAAUGUUAUAACCCAGAGGAAAAUGAGUUUAUUCUCAGUGAAGAUUCAAAACAGAAAGUAGAUUAUAGAGUUAGAGAACAGUCUCAUUUGAAGAGCUAAGUGUGGCUGAACUUUUGAAAAAGUUAAAUCUUUAUAAGAGUUUUAUAAGCAUUAUAAUUUACCAAAAUGAGUAACAACACCACUAAUGCAACAACAAGUUAGUGUACAGUCUAUGCUUUACCCUGCAUACAAGCUGCAAUGGUCCAGAUGAGGAUGAUGAUGUUGUUCAUUGUAGUUGUUUUGUCUUGUGUGAUGAUGAAGAUUGUGUUGUGUUCUGCUCUCAGUCAAGAAGUGUUCAACUCACAGCACUAUAAACAUUUGCCACUAUUGUGGUGAACAGAUCAAAAGGCCUGAAGCCCUAUUAUACCCCGACUCUAUGCCCAUUCACGAAUGAUUCAUUCUUUUGAGUCAAUUCUGUUCGAAGGCUUGAUCAGUUGGCAGACAGUGAAUUGGUUCGCAAAUCGGUUUGAAUGAUUCGUUCAGUUCCCUGCCGCACGCACCGAGUCAUCUGAAGCGGUUCUCACUCAGCAUGUAACAGAAAGUUUAAGAACAUCAAGAGCGUUGAAGACGUGGCUUUGGAUCUACAGUCAACUGAAAGCAAAUCUGCAAAGGCUAUUGUUUGCUAGCUAUGAAGAUCUUUAUUAGAUGAACACUGUGUGUGCUGUCUACGGUUCCACAGGUAUAGAUUCGAUUACAGUACACGAUACCACUAUGACAUUACCAGUUUAUUGUACAUGUACCUUAUACAUUAAAUACAAUGUAUAAUUUAUACAUUAAAUAAGCUGUCACAGAGUAUGAA